UUUUGAAUUAUGGUUUUCUUGAACUCUGUAUAUCUAAACACAGCCCGUGUUCAGGUUUCACGGUCACAUACAUAAGCACAACUGAAAUGAAACUUGUUGACUGCACAAGAAGUCACAGACAUGCUGUGUUUUAUGAAACGGUCUACAAUCAGUCAAAGUUUGAUAAUCGUCUUCCCCACGUCUGCUCUAGUGCAGUGUGUCUGUAUCACUAUCUAGAAGGCUGCAUUUCAUUUCAUACUAUCCUUUAGUAGUCCUGUCCAAUGAGAGGACAUUACACAGAAUAUUAAUUAUAAGCCUAAACUUGUGACAGACUUGAUGCUUUGAAAUUGACCAUUGGUACCUCCUCCUUAAAAGAGAAGUGUCGUGUUCAGGAGUCACAGUAAAGUCUCUCCUGCCUGGGUUGUCACCAUUGCUUUUCACGUCGUUUCUGUCCUUGCUGUUUCUCUGAAGCUUAAUUUUGAACGAUUCCAGCAUUGAAACAGAAAAGAUGCUACUGUGUCUGCUGUCUGUGUGCCAUCAGAUCUGUAAGUGAGUUUCAGAGUCCUCAUGCCAUGGACAGUGUCUGCUGUAAGGCUCCGGGCAUUAGGUAAAAGCAACAGGGAUUGGUUUGCUCUGGUUUUUGUUUAGGGUGUGAUAAUAUAGAGACAGUUGGGUAACAUAAGCCUCACCCUUUCUAGGAACAAAUAAUGACACUUAUCCAUGCUGCUGGUCAGAUGCAUGUUAAAGGCGAGGUGGGUGAUCUGCCCACACACUGUACUUCUGCUGAAAAAUACACACACACACAAUAAUACAUAUGUAAACUAUAUCAGCAUCAAAGGAGUCAGGAAAGAAGAGCUGUACUGAAGACAAUAUUAAACUGUUGAAAAAUAAACUUAGACUCGCAGUAUAUAUGACCACACCUUACUUCCACCUACAAGGUAGCUAGUGUGGUCAGUCAAACGGCUCCCCAGCUUUUACCUCUGUGGUUCUCACACACGAGGUGUUUCAGCAACAUCUGAACAUGCACAUUUGUCUCAGCAAUAAAAGCGAAGACUCCCUUUUAUUUUCAGUUCCUAUGUUGAAAACAAGCUGGCCCACCUGGGAACACUGUCCACUUCUCAGAUUUGUUACUGGAGUGGCCCCGACUUCUGCUUUCUGUUUGCAUACUGGUCUUCAGAUGAGAGGAGUCAGUGAAAUCAUCGUGGAACUGAUUUUGUGACAAACACCAGUGCCUUACCAAUGUGGUUGUCCUUUUCCACUGAAGAGGGAAAGUUGGUUUGUUUGGGUUUGUUUUGGUUUCUGUUUCUGUUUUUGAUGUAGAAAUGGCAGUUCACUGCUGUUGCUUUUCCACUGCCUUCCACGUUGCAACAGCUACUUGACUUAUCUUGUGAUCCCAGAAUCCCCUAAGAGGUCACACUGAGCCUGUGACAGCACUGUCAGUGCUUGGCUUGUCAGACGUGAGGGAGGAUGCCUCUGUGUCACUGGGGGUAACAAAAUGAGACUCUGGGUGUGCAGGAAUUCUGCCUGUGAAGUGGGAUCCACAGCAUGUUCGACGGGUGGGAGAACUGGGCAUGUAUGGAGGAACACUGCCAGGGACCCAUGCAUUUUUGCCUCCAGAAAACUACAAAGUUCCCUAGGUUUUUAAAUCAUGUAAAUGUUUACUUAUCCUGAGUAUAGAGAGAAUGGGGAGGGUAUUUUAAUUUUUUGUUGUGAUUCUUUUUUUUUUAAGGAUAUUGGUUUGGUUCACUUCUCUGAGUUAGCUUCCAUGUUGAAUCUGUCACCAUUUCAGUAGUAAAACAGCCAAAAGUUUCUAGAAAAGAGCAGGUUUGACCUUUAGGAGUUACUGUAUAUAACGGCUUCGUUCAAGAGCCUCACGACAUCUGUGAGGUGUGUAGAAAUGUCACAAGCACUCUCCAGAUGCAGGGCCUCUGUCUUUGUUGGUGUACAGACUCUUACCAAAAGCUGCUGGUUUGUUCUUGUAAUUGUUUCCUUGCUUCUCCAUUGUACAUGUGGGGUAUAUGCCAUGUGUCAAAUAUGCAAUAAUGUGUUUACUGGAUGCCCUCCUGGAGGGUGGUCCUCUGUAAAGCUGUACAGCCUUUGCAGUUCAAGCACAAUGUGCACAUGUUAGUUUUAUAUACAGCAAAACUUGAUUUUUUCAAAUGGAAAGGUAUUUUGUUUCUAUACAAAGUUAAAUGGGUUGUUUGUGCUUAAUGUAAAGCUGCUUUAUAAAAUUGUAAAAUAAAGUUUUUAUCUCG
rnacentral:lncRNA from 1 species